rnacentral:rRNA from 1 species
GUUGAUAAGGUUAAGUGAAUAAGGGCGCACGGUGGAUGCCUUGGCACUAGGAGCCGAUGAAGGACGGGACUAACACCGAUAUGCUUUGGGGAGCUGUAAGU